rnacentral:rRNA from 1 species
GCAUAACGCGAAGAACCUUACCCACCUUUGACAUGGCAGGAACUUACCAGAGAUGGUUUGGUGCUCGAAAGAGAACCUGCACACAGGUGCUGCAUGGCUGUCGUCAGCUCGUGUCGUGAGAUGUUGGGUUAAGUCCCGCAACGAGCGCAACCCUUGCCAUUAGUUGCUACAUUCAGUUGAGCACUCUAAUGGGACUGCCGGUGACAAACCGGAGGAAGGUGGGGAUGACGUCAAGUCCUCAUGGCCCUUAUAGGUGGGGCUACACACGUCAUACAAUGGCUGGUACAAAGGGUUGCCAACCCGCGAGGGGGGAGCUAAUCCCAUAAAACCGAUCGUAGUCCGGAUCGCAGUCUGCAACUCGACUGCGUGAAGUCGGAAUCGCUAGUAAUCGUGAAUCAGAAUGUCACGGUGAAUACGUUCCCGGGUCUUGUACACACCG